UACGUAGGGCGCAAGCGUUGUCCGGAAUUAUUGGGCGUAAAGAGCUCGUAGGCGGCUUGUUGCGUCGGUUGUGAAAGCCCGGGGCUUAACCCCGGGUCUGCAGUCGAUACGGGCAGGCUAGAGUGUGGUAGGGGAGAUCGGAAUUCCUGGUGUAGCGGUGAAAUGCGCAGAUAUCAGGAGGAACACCGGUGGCGAAGGCGACAUCCUGGACCGGUAUUGACGCUGAGUGAGCGAAAGCCAGGGGAGCAAACGGG
rnacentral:rRNA from 1 species